rnacentral:rRNA from 1 species
UACGAAGGGGGCUAGCGUUGUUCGGAAUUACUGGGCGUAAAGGGCGCGUAGGCUGUGCUGUAAGUCAGGCGUGAAAGCCCCGGGCUCAACCUGGGAAUUGCGCUUGAUACUGCGGCGCUGGAAGGUGGGAGAGGAUGGCGGAAUUCCCAGUGUAGAGGUGAAAUUCGUAGAUAUUGGGAAGAACACCGGUGGCGAAGGCGGCGCUCUGGACCGAGACUGACGCUGAGGCGCGAAAGCGUGGGGAGCAAACAGG